AAGGCGUACCGCUCAGUAACACGUAGCUAACCUGCCCUCGAGCCCAUAAUACCGUCGGGAAACUGACGCUAAUGAUGGAUAGAUGAUGUUUUCUGGAAUGAUUUAUCAUUGAAAGCUGGCGCGAGGAUGGGGCUGCGGCUGAUUA
rnacentral:rRNA from 1 species